rnacentral:rRNA from 1 species
CGAACGGGUGAGUAAUGCGUGACCAACCUGCCCCAUGCUCCAGAAUAGCUCUUGGAAACGGGUGGUAAUGCUGGAUGCUCAACUUGACGCAUGUCUUGUUGGGAAAGUGUUUAGUGGCAUGGGAUGGGGUCGCGUCCUAUCAGCUUGUAGGCGGGGUAAUGGCCCACCUAGGCUUCGACGGGUAGCCGGCCUGAGAGGGCGGACGGCCACAUUGGGACUGAGAUACGGCCCAGACUCCUACGGGAGGCAGCAGUC